rnacentral:rRNA from 1 species
UUCUUACCCGGGGAAAUUUUAAGUCAUUCCUUAAGGGGGAGGAAAGGAAACUUAACAGGGUUUUCCUUCGGUAACGGGGGGAUGAACCGGGGAAAGCCCCCAGCCCCGAAAGCCUGGUUCCAUUUGGUCCAUUAGGCAAUGUGGGUUUUCAGGUCAAUCCGGCAAGAACAUUGUUCCACCCCUAAGUCCCAGCAAUGGAGUACGGUGGUUAUGGACCUGGCCCCAUAGAGGGUGAAAAGCCCCGUAGGGGUGAAGUUCCGCCAUGUCAGUGUCUUCUCGGGGUAGACCUUGGAGUCGGGUUGUUUGUAAAUGCAGCCCAAAGUGGGGGGUAGACUCCCAUCCAAGGCCUAAAUACUUGCCCGAGUCCGAUAGCGAACAAGUACCGUGAGGGAAAGUUGAAAAGUACUUUGAAGAGAGGGUAAACAGCACGUGAAACCGCUCAGAGGUAAACGGGUGGAGUUGAACUGCAAGCACCGAGAAUUCAAACGGUGAGUGUGGCUUAGACUUGGUUAAAUCGGUUGGGCUCGGUAGUCUGCGUAGUUGCAGGCCUUUGCCUUCUUGGUGAAGGUGCGCGAUGCACUUAUCAAGUGUUGCGCGCUGCCGGUGCUCUUCGGACCGACUUGCCGUUGCAUUUUCUCGGUGUGAUCACCACGACCGGCACUGCUGCCUGGCUGACAUAGUCAAACCGGUCUUGCUUCGUCCUUGUGACUUCGCUUGGCCGGGAUGGCAGGUAGCUCGUUAGCUUGCUUGUGGUUCGCUGCAGGCUUCGGCUUUCGAGUGUAAUAAGCUGAUUAUGUCGGUUCUGUGCAGUGUGUCGGAGACGGCGGCUUGUGGUGUGUGCAUGCGUGCCUGACUGGCUUGCGUAUCUGGGUUUGAUUCGUUUUGCGUAUUCACGCAUGCCUAUCGGUGUCCCAGAUGCGUCUGUCAGCGGUUGCGUGUGUGACACUAGCUUCAAGGCCUAUAGUCUGUGGUGUAGUGGUAGACUAUCCACCUGACCCGUCUUGAAACACGGACCAAGGAGUGUAACAUGUGCGCGAGUCAUUGGGCAUUACGAAACCCAAAGGCGCAGUGAAAGUAAAGGUUUGACUCGUUCAAGCCGAGGUGAGAUCCUGCCGUUUCUCACACGUGGUACCACCAAGUUACGAGCGGCAGGCGCAUCACCGGCCCGUCCCAUGACAACUGUCUUCGGACAUUAUUCAGUCGGGGUGGAGCAUGAGCGUACAUGUUGCGACCCGAAAGAUGGUGAACUAUGCUUGUGCAGGUUGAAGCCAGAGGAAACUCUGGUGGAGGACCGCAGCGGUUCUGACGUGCAAAUCGAUCGCCAGACAUGAGUAUAGGGCGAAAGACUAAUC